rnacentral:rRNA from 1 species
CCUACGGGAGGCAGCAGUGAGGAAUAUUGGUCAAUGGUCGGGAGACUGAACCAGCCAAGCCGCGUGAGGGAUGAAGGUACAGAGUAUCGUAAACCUCUUUUGUCAGGGAACAAAGGCGGGGACGUGUCCCCGGAUGAGUGUACCUGAAGAAAAAGCAUCGGCUAACUCCGUGCCAGCAGCCGCGGUAAUACGGAGGAUGCGAGCGUUAUCCGGAUUUAUUGGGUUUAAAGGGUGCGCAGGCGGUCUGUUAAGUCAGCGGUCAAAGCCCGGGGCUCAACCCCGGCGCGCCGUUGAAACUGGCAGUCUUGAGUUGGAGAGAAGUAUGCGGAAUGCGCGGUGGAGCGGUGAAAUGCAUAGAUAUCGCGCAGAACUCCGAUUGCGAAGGCAGCAUGCCGGCUCCACACUGACGCUGAGGCACGAAAGCGUGGGUAUCGAACAGGAUUAGAUACCCUUGUAGUC